rnacentral:rRNA from 1 species
UGCAAGUCGAGCGGAGAUAAGUUGAAGCCUAGCGAUUCUUAUCUUAGCGGCGGAUGGGUGAGUAACACGUGGGUAACCUGCCCUGUACUGGGGAAUAACAGCUGGAAACGGCUGUUAAUGCCGCAUAUGCGCACGGAGCCGCAUGACUCUGGGCGGAAAGAUUUAUCGGUACAGGAUGGGCCCGCGCCGGAUUAACUAGUUGGCGGGGUAACGGCCCACCAAGGUGAUGAUCCGUAGCCGACCUGAGAGGGUGACCGGCCACAUUGGGACUGAGACACGGCCCAAACUCCUACGGGAGGCAGCAGUGGGGGAUAUUGCACAAUGGGGGAAACCCUGAAUGCAGCGACGCCGCGUGAAGGAUGACGUAUUUCGGUAUGUAAACUUCUAUCAGCGGGGAAGAAGAUGACGGUACCCGACUAAGAAGCCCCGGCUAACUACGUGCCAGCCGCCGC